CCCCGAGAUGAGUUCUCCCUGACUCCUUGAGAGUCCUGAAGGAACGUUGAAGACGACGACGUUGAUAGGCCGGGUGUGUAAGCGCAGCGAUGCGUUGAGCUAACCGGUACUAAUGAACCGUGAGGCUUAACCUUACAACGCCGAAG
rnacentral:rRNA from 1 species